rnacentral:rRNA from 1 species
AUUGAACGCUGGCGGCAUGCCUUACACAUGCAAGUCGAACGGUAACGCGGGGCAACCUGGCGACGAGUGGCGAACGGGUGAGUAAUGUAUCGGAACGUGCCCAGUUGUGGGGGAUAACUGCUCGAAAGAGCAGCUAAUACCGCAUACGGCCUGAGGGUGAAAGCGGGGGAUCGCAAGACCUCGCGCAAUUGGAGCGGCCGAUAUCAGAUUAGGUAGUUGGUGGGGUAAAGGCCCACCAAGCCAACGAUCUGUAGCUGGUCUGAGAGGACGACCAGCCACACUGGGACUGAGAAACGGCCCAGACUCCUACGGGAGGCAGCAGUGGGGAAUUUUGGACAAUGGACGCAAGUCUGAUCCAGCCAUGCCGCGUGCGGGAAGAAGGCCUUCGGGUUGCAAACCGCUUUUGUCAGGGAAGAAAAGGGCGACUCUAAUACAGUUGCCUCAUGACGGUACCUGAAGAAUAAGCACCGGCUAACUACGUGCCAGCCGCCGCCGUAAGAC